UACGUAGGGUGCGAGCGUUGCCCGGAUUUAUUGGGCGUAAAGGGCGCGUAGGCGGCCACGCACGUCCGUUGUGAAAUCGCCCGGCUCAACUGGGCGGGGUCAGCGGAUACGGUGUGGCUCGAGCAAGCUAGGGGGCAAUGGAAUUCCCGGUGUAGUGGUGGAAUGCGUAGAUAUCGGGAGGAACACCAGUGGCGAAGGCGGUUGACCUGGAGCUUUGCUGACGCUGAUGCGCGA
rnacentral:rRNA from 1 species